rnacentral:lncRNA from 1 species
AUCCACCAUUUGUUUUUCACCUUUUGAAACCUUUUAUAACUUUAAGAAACAAGGAAAAACAUUUUAGGCAGAAAAAGAACCGUUAGAGCAUUUUAAGGGAGCAUAAAAGAUAAUUAAAAUGGGCAAAAAACUAGCCGUUGCGGACAAUUUCCGUCGCAGGGGUCGACUCAUGCUUCAGGAGUCGACUCAUGAGUCGACUUCUGUUGCAACAGCCAGAAAUGUUAGUUUCUGGAUUUUUUGGCCCAAACCAGCAGAGGUCGACUCAUGAGUCGACUCAUGCCUUGUUGCCCAGCUAUGCAACCCAAGAGGGGGGGGUGAAUUGGGUUUUUAAAAAAUUUAAGCUUAACUAAUUACUUAUGAAAAGUAUUUGUUAAAAGCUUGAUGAAUGAGGAGAAAGACUUUAGUUCAAGAUCAAUUACCUAAAGCAAGAAUGCAAGGAUAUAAUAAAGAAAUAAAGAGAAACAAUAAAGCACACCACAAACACAAAGAUUUAUAGUGGUUCGGUGCCAACCUUGCACCUACAUCCACUCCCCAAGCUCCUACUUGGGAAUUUCAAUCCACUAUACUUGUAUUCAACCCGAAUACAAACGUCGGAAACUCCG